UACAGAGGGUGCGAGCGUUAAUCGGAAUUACUGGGCGUAAAGCGCACGUAGGCGGCUUGGUAUGUCGGGUGUGAAAUCCCCGGGCUCAACCUGGGAACUGCAUCCGAAACUGCCUUGCUAGAGUAUGGGAGAGGGAAGUGGAAUUUCCGGUGUAGCGGUGAAAUGCGCAGAUAUCAGGAGGAACACCGGUGGCGAAGGCGGGUCUCUGGGCCGUAACUGACGCUGAGGAGCGAAAGCGUGGGGAGCGAACAGG
rnacentral:rRNA from 1 species